AAAACGCUCAAUUUGGACGCGUUUCUAGGUUUCGAUUUGUUAUUGCAGUGCAUCUCUGCGCCCACGGUCCUGCUCGACAGUGGCUGAGACGUGCAACACAGUUGCGCCCAACUUCCCUCUAUGCUACAAGCACCCCAGGAGCUACUAUCGCCCAAAGAUGUCACAGGCAGUCAUGAUUCUUUGAGGCAGCGAAAUUUCACCGAAGUGCAUCUUUAACACCUUCAGUUUCUUUUCUACUGCAAGCCUGGUACUACAGCUUGUGGCCCGUGUAGAAGAAUAGAGGGGUGAAACCAAGGCUCAAGUGACCGUGGACUCAUGGCCCUCAGACAGCUACAGCACCAGACCAGGCACAGA